rnacentral:rRNA from 1 species
CGCUGAACUUAAGCAUAUCAUUAAGCGGAGGAAAAGAAACUAACAAGGAUUCCCCCAGUAACGGCGAGUGAAGCGGGAAGAGCUCAAGCUUAAAAUCUCCAUACUUGUAUGGCGAAUUGUAGUCUAUUGAGGCUGUUGUCAGCAUCGCGAUUGGGGACAAGUCCCUUGGAAAAGGGCAGCAUAGAGGGUGAUACUCCCGUCUCUGCUCCAAUCUGCGGUGUGUACGAUACGCUUUCUUUGAGUCGAGUUGUUUGGGAAUACAGCUCAAAGUAGGUGGUAAAUUCCAUCUAAAGCUAAAUAUUGGUGCGAGACCGAUAGCGAACAAGUACCGUGAGGGAAAGAUGAAAAGAACUUUGAAAAGAGAGUUAAAGAGUACCUGAAACUGUUGAAAGGGAACCGUAUCGUUUCCAGUGUUGUAUCCUGUGCAUAUUUCAUUCGCGGAGUAAUUUGCGGGUGCCCUGUGCAUGGGUGUGACGUCAGGGUCAGUUUGUAUGCUGCGGGAGAUGGUCAGUGAGGAGGUGCGUCACUUCGGUGAAAGUUAUAUCUCGCUGUCUAGUAGCCGUGGUUGAGACUGAGGUGCCUACAACAUGCCUUAAGGUUCCGUGUUGUCUCGUGUUGGUGACUGCUUUGAUAGCUUGCUAUGUCUGUGGUUUAUUAGUGCGAUUGAUGAUGCGGAUAACUUUGCUGUUCGGGACUCUGGCGAAAUGGAGCGAUACGACCCGUCUUGAAACACGGACCAAGGAGUCUAACAUGUGUGCAAGUAUUAGGGCGUGUAAACCCAAAUGCGUAAUGAAAGUAAAUGCUGCUUAUGCAGCUG